GGACUCCUUGCCAGUGGAGUCUAGGUCGGCUCCCUCUUUGCUGUCCUUGUGCUGGCAGGCAAAGACCACUUUAUUCAGGAAGACCUUUGGCCUGUGAGUGGGUCUGCUGGGUUGAGCUCUGCUUUUCGUUUUGCAAUUGCUAUCUGAAGAGGCUUCUGUCCAAAUAGGAAGCGCUGGCGUGUUUGGGAUUCAACUGGAGUCAAAUUCACAUUAGUUUUGUCUUCUGACAUUUGUGUGAAGUGAAUGUCUUCCAGCUGCUCUCCACUAGGAUUGCUUGAGAGCAUGGAUGCACGCGUGCUGCUGAUGAGAUCAAAUAGUACACAGCAUGCAAGAAUCAGGCAGCUGUACAAAGCAUCAGCGGCAUCACCCAACCGGCAUCGAUA